AAUGAAUUGCCUGAUUAAAGGAUUACCUUGAUAGGGUAAAUUAUGUAAUAAUGUUACAUUCAUUA
rnacentral:tRNA from 1 species